rnacentral:rRNA from 1 species
GAUGAACGCUGGCGGCGUGCCUAAUACAUGCAAGUCGAGCGAACAGACGAGGAGCUUGCUUCUCUGACGUUAGCGGCGGACGGGUGAGUAACACGUGGAUAACCUACCUAUAAGACUGGGAUAACUUCGGGAAACCGGAGCUAAUACCGGAUAAUAUAUUGAGCCGCAUGGUUCAAUAGUGAAAGACGGUUUUGCUGUCACUUAUAGAUGGAUCCGCGCCGCAUUAGCUAGUUGGUAAGGUAACGGCUUACCAAGGCAACGAUGCGUAGCCGACCUGAGAGGGUGAUCGGCCACACUGGAACUGAGACACGGUCCAGACUCCUACGGGAGGCAGCAGUAGGGAAUCUUCCGCAAUGGGCGAAAGCCUGACGGAGCAACGCCGCGUGAGUGAUGAAGGUCUUCGGAUCGUAAAACUCUGUUAUUAGGGAAGAACAAAUGUGUAAGUAACUAUGCACGUCUUGACGGUACCUAAUCAGAAAGCCACGGCUAACUACGUGCCAGCAGCCGCGGUAAUACGUAGGUGGCAAGCGUUAUCCGGAAUUAUUGGGCGUAAAGCGCGCGUAGGCGGUUUUUUAAGUCUGAUGUGAAAGCCCACGGCUCAACCGUGGAGGGUCAUUGGAAACUGGAAAACUUGAGUGCAGAAGAGGAAAGUGGAAUUCCAUGUGUAGCGGUGAAAUGCGCAGAGAUAUGGAGGAACACCAGUGGCGAAGGCGACUUUCUGGUCUGUAACUGACGCUGAUGUGCGAAAGCGUGGGGAUCAAACAGGAUUAGAUACCCUGGUAGUCCACGCCGUAAACGAUGAGUGCUAAGUGUUAGGGGGUUUCCGCCCCUUAGUGCUGCAGCUAACGCAUUAAGCACUCCGCCUGGGGAGUACGACCGCAAGGUUGAAACUCAAAGGAAUUGACGGGGACCCGCACAAGCGGUGGAGCAUGUGGUUUAAUUCGAAGCAACGCGAAGAACCUUACCAAAUCUUGACAUCCUCUGACCCCUCUAGAGAUGGAGUUUUCCCCUUCGGGGGACAGAGUGACAGGUGGUGCAUGGUUGUCGUCAGCUCGUGUCGUGAGAUGUUGGGUUAAGUCCCGCAACGAGCGCAACCCUUAAGCUUAGUUGCCAUCAUUAAGUUGGGCACUCUAAGUUGACUGCCGGUGACAAACCGGAGGAAGGUGGGGAUGACGUCAAAUCAUCAUGCCCCUUAUGAUUUGGGCUACACACGUGCUACAAUGGACAAUACAAAGGGCAGCGAAACCGCGAGGUCAAGCAAAUCCCAUAAAGUUGUUCUCAGUUCGGAUUGUAGUCUGCAACUCGACUAUAUGAAGCUGGAAUCGCUAGUAAUCGUAGAUCAGCAUGCUACGGUGAAUACGUUCCCGGGUCU